AUGCUGAACCAGCCUAGCUCUAUGCUGGCACCCCCAGGAAAUGUCGCUCAGCUCCCCUGCACCCUGUCCAGUGACAGCAUCGCAAGCCACACCAUCGUCUGGCUCCAGCGGAAGCACCAGGGCUCUCCCAGACGCAUUUUGUAUUACAAAGAUGAAUCGAACCAACAUAAAGCCUCAGGGGUCCCUGAUCGCUUUUCUGCUUCCAAAGAUGCCCAAAGCAGCACCUGCUACCUUACUAUCUCUGGGGUCCAGGCAGAGGAUGAUGGCAUCUAUUACUGUCUGACAUCGGCAGGGGGAGAGUACCACAGUGCUUCAGCUUAA